rnacentral:rRNA from 1 species
AGUUUGAUCCUGGCUCAGGAUGAACGCUAGCUACAGGCUUAACACAUGCAAGUCGAGGGGCAGCAUGGUCUUAGCUUGCUAAGGCCGAUGGCGACCGGCGCACGGGUGAGUAACACGUAUCCAACCUGCCGUCUACUCUUGGACAGCCUUCUGAAAGGAAGAUUAAUACAAGAUGGCAUCAUGAGUUCACAUGUUCACAUGAUUAAAGGUAUUCCGGUAGACGAUGGGGAUGCGUUCCAUUAGAUAGUAGGCGGGGUAACGGCCCACCUAGUCUUCGAUGGAUAGGGGUUCUGAGAGGAAGGUCCCCCACAUUGGAACUGAGACACGGUCCAAAUCCUACGGGAGGCAGCAGUGAGGAAUAUUGGUCAAUGGGCGCAGGCCUGAACCAGCCAAGUAGCGUGAAGGAUGACUGCCCUAUGGGUUGUAAACUUCUUUUAUAAAGGAAUAAAGUCGGGUAUGUAUACCCGUUUGCAUGUACUUUAUGAAUAAGGAUCGGCUAACUCCGUGCCAGCAGCCGCGGUAAUACGGAGGAUCCGAGCGUUAUCCGGAUUUAUUGGGUUUAAAGGGAGCGUAGAUGGAUGUUUAAGUCAGUUGUGAAAGUUUGCGGCUCAACCGUAAAAUUGCAGUUGAUACUGGAUAUCUUGAGUGCAGUUGAGGCAGGCGGAAUUCGUGGUGUAGCGGUGAAAUGCUUAGAUAUCACGAAGAACUCCGAUUGCGAAGGCAGCCUGCUAAGCUGCAACUGACAUUGAGGCUCGAAAGUGUGGGUAUCAAACAGGAUUAGAUACCCUGGUAGUCCACACGGUAAACGAUGAAUACUCGCUGUUUGCGAUAUACGGCAAGCGGCCAAGCGAAAGCGUUAAGUAUUCCACCUGGGGAGUACGCCGGCAACGGUGAAACUCAAAGGAAUUGACGGGGGCCCGCACAAGCGGAGGAACAUGUGGUUUAAUUCGAUGAUACGCGAGGAACCUUACCCGGGCUUAAAUUGCAGAUGAAUUACGGUGAAAGCCGUAAGCCGCAAGGCAUCUGUGAAGGUGCUGCAUGGUUGUCGUCAGCUCGUGCCGUGAGGUGUCGGCUUAAGUGCCAUAACGAGCGCAACCCUUGUUGUCAGCUACUAACAGGUUCCGCUGANGACUCUGACAAGACUGCCAUCGUAAGAUGUGAGGAANGUGGA